AGUGAACGCUGGCGGUAGGCCUAACACAUGCAAGUCGAACGGCAGCACAGUAAGAGCUUGCUCUUACGGGUGGCGAGUGGCGGACGGGUGAGGAAUACAUCGGAAUCUACUUUUUCGUGGGGGAUAACGUAGGGAAACUUACGCUAAUACCGCAUACGACCUACGGGUGAAAGCAGGGGAUCUUCGGACCUUGCGCGAUUGAAUGAGCCGAUGUCGGAUUAGCUUGUUGGCGGGGUAAAGGCCCACGAAGGCGACGAUCCGUAGCUGGUCUGAGAGGAUGAUCAGCCACACUGGAACUGAGACACGGUCCAGACUCCUGCGGGAGGCAGCAGUGGGGAAUAUUGGACAAUGGGCGCAAGCCUGAUCCAGCCAUACCGCGUGGGUGAAGAAGGCCUUAGGGUUGUAAAGCCCUUUUGUUGGGAAAGAAAAGCAGCAGGUUAAUACCCCGCUGUUCUGACGGUACCCAAAGAAUAAGCACCGGCUAACUUCGUG
rnacentral:rRNA from 1 species